rnacentral:rRNA from 1 species
AUUCGCCCUUAGAGUUUGAUCCUGGHUCAGGAUGAACGCUGGCGGCAUGCCUAAGAUAUGCAAGUCGAGCGAUUCUACUCGAACCUCUCGUAGGAUUGAGUAGAAAGCGGCGGACGGCUGAGUAAUACAUAGGAAUCUCCCCCUUUCUGGGAAAUAGUAUCGAGAAAUCGAUAAUAAUGUCCCAUGGUCCCCACCUUCUGGUUGGGUAAAGGACGUAACUGUUCGGAAAGGGAUGAGCUUAUGGCCUAUCAGGUAGUUGGUGAGGUAAAGGCUCACCAAGCCGAUKACGGGUAGCUGGCUUUAGUGAGUGGUCAUUUWWAGGGGGACUGAGACACGGCCCCCACUCCUACGGGAGGCAGCAAUUAGGAAUAGUCGGCAAUGGGCGAAACCUGACCGCGCAAUGCCGCGUGUAGGAAGAAGUUCGAAAGAAUGUAAACUACUGUGGUAGGGGAAGAAGCGAUCCUAGCACAUCGAAUGUUCGUGAUAAGAAGUGAGGGGUUGACGGUACCCUACUAGAAAGGAGCCGCUAACUUCGUGCCAGAAGCGUCGGUAAUACGGGGGCUCAAGCGUUAUCCGGUGUUAUUGGGCGUAAGAGUCGUGUAKGUGUUGGGUAAGUAUCUUCAAUAUCUUUCUUACAAGAGGAGGGGAUAUACUCUCACUARAUUUCUCAAGGRAUCGGACUGAGGAGGAUAUGAAUCGUUAUCCYCGGA